GCGCCUGUGGCGGAACUGGUAGACGCGCUAGACUUAGGAUCUAGUGAUUCCAAUCGUGCAGGUUCGAGUCCUGUUAGGCGCACUA
rnacentral:tRNA from 1 species